rnacentral:rRNA from 1 species
GUGAGCAAUCUGCCCUUGACUCUGGGAUAAGCGCUGGAACGGCGUCUAAUACCGGAUACGACCCUCGGAGGCAUCUCCUGUGGGUGGAAAGAACUUCGGUCAAGGAUGAGCUCGCGGCCUAUCAGCUUGUUGGUGAGGUAAUGGCUCACCAAGGCGACGACGGGUAGCCGGCCUGAGAGGGUGACCGGCCACACUGGGACUGAGACACGGCCCAGACUCCUACUGGAGGCAGCUGUGGGGAAUAUUGCACAAUGGGCGCAAGCCUGAUGCAGCAACGCCGCGUGAGGGACGACGGCCUUCGGGUUGUAAACCUCUUUUAUCAGGGAAGAAGCGAGAGUGACGGUACCUGCAGAAAAAGCACCGGCUAACUACGUGCCAGCAGCCGCGGUAAUACGUAGGGUGCAAGCGUUGUCC